UACCAACUGGAGUUAUCUGCUCUACUGUAACAGAACUUCAAACACAAUCUCACAACAUCACAUCAUACAGCGACACUCCCACCUGCAACUCUUCAUCACGCUGUAACGUCACACCUCCCAUAAUACACACCCUGACACCGACUCCGGUCUCCAAGUUCAUGUUACUCAGAACACAAUAAUGAUCACUGCUGGUCUGAUCAGACUCUCUGCAGCUCUGCUCUGGAUUGUAGGUCUAAUUGAUGGGAGUGAUGUCACUCAGACACCUUUGCUGUGGAAGGUCAAGGAUCAGUCUGCCACAAUGAACUGCAGUCACAACAAGGAUGCUACUUUUUACCAGAUGUACUGGUACAGACAGCUACCAGGAGAGGGGAUGAAGCAAAUAGUUCUCACCACUACAAUUCCCCCGUUUCAAUAUGAAAGUGGCUUCAGCGAGGACAAGUUUCCAGCGCAGAAGAACAACCCUCAGACUGGAUCUUUGACAGUGGAGAAGCUGCUGCCUGAGGACAGUGGAGUGUAUUUUUGUGCUGUGAGUCAACACAGUGAUACAGGUGGCUGAGACAGCUGUACAAAUACCCAACUGUUGCUGUCACAAUGAAUAGACAUCAUCACUGUGUAUAAUUCUCUGUAGGAGGAGCUGGAGACCUGUAUACUACAUUAAGAUUUUGAGCAGUCAGUGUUAUUUUUUAUAUCAGUAGCUUUGUGAUAUAAUUGUUAUACUGGAGUGUAGAAAUAUGUUGAAGUUAAAGGUCAGUGAAUGUGAAAUGACAUACAAAACAAAUACAGAAAUUGUCACAUCACUACUUUUUACAUUCUGUAUUAGGUUUCUUUCUCUGACCCUUAAAUGUAAAAAAACCCAACAUGUUUCCUACUUUUCAUGCAUUACAGAACUGUGUGAAAUUACUACACUGUAUUUUGUGACAGAUAACUGUCUGAAUCUAGAAUCAAAAGACAUUUUAUCUAUAAACCUCCAUCACCUCUGGGUUUACUGCCAAAUAUAGUGACUAGCACCUGGAACCAAUUGAAUCCAAACCCUAUCAAAAACGUUUUAUGACUCUGUGUCUGAUGUGUCCUGACUACUAACAAAUGUUAAUAAAGACCAAUGUAG